ACGUGUCUAAUAAGAAAACUGCAGUGUUUCAUUAAACUUUAACAUUUUGGCCUCAUCUAACCCUACGGCUGCAAGCCUGCAACGAAGAACGUGGAAACGGCUGUGUUCAUAAGCAGAGGAGGAGAAGAGGCUUCGAUGGACGACAAAUCAGAUCUACUCCAUAUGCAGAUGGCUCAUCUGCCGCUGCGUCUCUGGCUUCGCCGCUGCGUCUCAGGUGAAUCUCACGAAAACUUAACCGAAGGCGUCAAUCUUAAACCCGUUUCCUUCAUGUCUCAGCUAAAUUAUAUUUGUGGGUAUUCUUUAUCGGAGAUGAAAUUCGUAUAUCUACUUCAGCUAAUUCUUUCAACGAACUCCCUCCAACGCCCAUGAUCAUCUCAAGGAUGGCUUUACUUUGGCUUGGAGAUACAAUACUGCCACUACGUUUUCAUCCGGCUGCGUCACUUACGGACCACACCUGUAGAGUUUUUUUUUAUAUGUUGGAGCUAGCAGACUCUUUUCUGGUUCCGUGGACAAUUCUAUAAAUUAUUUGUUUUCAAGAACAACCAGCUAGCUUUCGAGUCUGCUGCGACGGAUCUCCAUCAGCUGCAAACAACGUGUUCACCCUAAUCGCCGUUAUCAUAUUUUAUGGGUUCUUGAUCACUCCUUACCGCAGAUUCAUCACCGUCAAAGCUAUUUUUAUCAAUUUCACAGUGAGACGACUUCACCAGAAUGGAUUUGGCUUGGCGGAAGUUGCUUAUGUGAAAAGAAGUCUGCAUAUCAAGCUAUGAUGAAAUA